CCUACGGGAGGCAGCAGUGAGGAAUAUUGGUCAAUGGCCGAAAGUCUGAACCAGCCAUGCCGCGUGAAGGUCAGUGCCCUAUGGGCGUUAAACUUCUUUUGUGCGGGAACAAUAGUGGUCACGUGUGGCCAGACGAGAGUACCGUACGAAUAAGCAUCCGCUAACUCCGGGACAGCAGCCGCGGUAAUACGGGGGAUGCAAGCGUUUUCCGGAUUUAUUGGGGUUAAAGGGUGCGUAGGCUGUGCGGUAAGUCAGCGGUGAAAUGCCCCCGCUCAACGGGGGGAAGUGCAAUUGAUACUGGCUUGCUGGAAUGCGGAUGCAGUGGGAGGAAUGUGUGGUGUAGCGGUGAAAUGCAUAGAUAUCACACAGAACACCGAUUGCGAAGGCAUCUUACGAAUCCGUGAUUGACGCUGAUGCACGAAAGCGUGGGUAUCAAACAGGAUUAGAUACCCGGGUAGUC
rnacentral:rRNA from 1 species